GGGCUAGAAUGUUGCAAGUGAACUUGAACAAGCUGUGCAACUUGUUACUAAUGAUAACCUUGAUCUGGGCUGUGCAUUGAUUGAACAAGUUGCAACAAAAAAUAUUGGAUUGGGAUGGCAUUUUUGACGUGCAACAAUGAUGUAAUUUGCUUGAAUGUUCAUUUUGUUUGAUAAGGAUACACAUACUUUGUGGAGUUGCACUAGUUAUUGUUGGACGUUUGGUGGAAUUGUACAAGUUAUAAGUUUUGGAUAUUUUGUAGAUAUUGAACUAUUUUAUUGUAUUAUGAUGAAAUUAUUUGUUAUGAUGAAUGAAUAUUUUCAUUUUGUUAA